rnacentral:rRNA from 1 species
GCAUGUGGUUUAAUUCGAAGCAACGCGAAGAACCUUACCUAAGCUUGACAUCCCAAUGACAUCUCCUUAAUCGGAGAGUUCCCUUCGGGGACAUUGGUGACAGGUGGUGCAUGGUUGUCGUCAGCUCGUGUCGUGAGAUGUUGGGUUAAGUCCCGCAACGAGCGCAACCCUUGUCUUUAGUUGCCAUCAUUAAGUUGGGCACUCUAGAGAGACUGCCAGGGAUAACCUGGAGGAAGGUGGGGAUGACGUCAAAUCAUCAUGCCCCUUAUGCUUAGGGCUACACACGUGCUACAAUGGGUAGUACAGAGGGUUGCCAAGCCGUAAGGUGGAGCUAAUCCCUUAAAGCUACUCUCAGUUCGGAUUGUAGGCUGAAACUCGCCUACAUGAAGCUGGAGUUACUAGUAAUCGCAGAUCAGAAUGCUGCGGUGAAUGCGUUCCCGGGUCUUGUACACACCGCCCGUCACACCACGGGAGUUGGAGACGCCCGAAGCCGAUUAUCUAACCUUUUGGAAGAAGUCGUCGAAGG